CAGCAGGCACAUACUUGGCGGUCGCCCAGAACUGCGCGCAGAUCGACGCCGUGUCUAGUGCUGUUUUUAAACGUGACUCAACGUAACCUAUCAUGAAGCUGAAAGCCAUUCUGCUUGCCGUGGCUGUUGCCAUCCUAUGGACGUCAGCAAGUGCAGCCGGGUCGGUGGAAUCGGUGAAGGAGCCGCAAGCAAGAGCAGGUUCAGAAGACGCUGCCAACUCAGGUGGAGUGCCGCCUCUGCGCCUUGAAGGAAGAAUUGCUGAAGUUUGUGUUUUCCAGAUAUGUGGGUAGUCAUCAGCGGGGACCCCAUAACACUGGCCCCAGAAAAGCGGUGCUCGUGGCGUGUUCCCUGACAAUGCUUGAUAAAUGAGGAAAAUAAAGCGUUUUAUGGAAGA
rnacentral:lncRNA from 1 species